AUUGAACGCUGGCGGUAGGCCUAACACAUGCAAGUCGAACGGCAGCACAGUAGGAUCUUGCUCUUACGGGUUGCGGGUGGGGGGCGGGUUAGGAAUGCAUCGGAAUCUACUUGUUGGUGGGGGAGAAGGAAGGGGAACUUACGCUAAUACCGCAUAAGGGCUACGAGUGAAAGAAGGGGGUCUUCGGACCUUUCGGGAUUGAAUGAGCCGAUGUCGGAUUAGCUAGUUGGCGGGGUAAAGGCCCACCAAGGCGACGAUCCGUAGCUGGUCUGAGAGGAUGAUCAGCCACACUGGAACUGAGACACGGUCCAGACUCCUACGGGAGGCAGCAGUGGGGAAUAUUGGACAAUGGGCGCAAGCCUGAUCCAGCAAUACCGCGUGGGUGAAGAAGGCCUUCGGGUUGUAAAGCCCUUUUGUUGGGAAAGAAAAGCAGCAGGUUAAUACCCCGCUGUUCUGACGGUACCCAAAGAAUAAGCACCGGCUAACUUCGUG
rnacentral:rRNA from 1 species